CUGCGGAGGAUCAUUAUCGAGUAACUAAACGGGGUUGUGCUGGCCCUCUUGGGCAUGUGCACGCCUCUACUCAUCCAUUACACCCCUUGUGCACCUAGAGGCGACGACCCCCUUGUGAGGUGGUCGCCUUCCUUUAUACACGCUUCAGAAGUCUGUAGAAUGUAAUUAGCCUAACGGCGAUAUAAUACAACUUUCAACAACGGAUCUCUUGGCUCUCGCAUCGAUGAAGAACGCAGCGAAAUGCGAUAAGUAAUGUGAAUUGCAGAAUUCAGUGAAUCAUCGAAUCUUUGAACGCACCUUGCGCUCCUUGGUAUUCCGAGGAGCAUGCCUGUUUGAGUGUCAUGAAACUCUCAACCCCAAGCUUUAAUCGGCUUGUGGUUGGACUUGGACGCUGCUGCGACCUCGCGGCUCGUCCUAAAUGCAUUAGCUGGAAAGUCUCGCUUCACGAGGUUCUCGGUGUGACAAUUAUCUACAUCGGACGCCGCAAGGCGGCCUCUUUGCGAGUGCAGUCCGCUUCUAAUCGUCGCUCGUCGACAGCUUUUAUUAAGAUCUGACCUCAAAUCAGGUAGGACUACCUGCUGAACUUAAGCAUAUCAAUAAGCGGAGGAA
rnacentral:rRNA from 1 species